ensembl:lncRNA
AUGGAGUCUGACAUGAACAGGAUCGAUUGGCUGAGCCUCAUGGGAGGCAACACACCUGGAGAGUCGGUCAGAAGACUGCUUAGGAAACUCGGGACGAAUGCUCUAUGGGCCCAAUAUAGUCUUAAAGGCCGCAAGGGAAAGAAGAAUUUGUAGGAACUGGAAAUAUAUGCCUGUCGUCAAACACACACCAAGGUGCUGGAAAAAGUAAUUGAGGACUUCAUAUCAGAAACACUGAAGUUUGCACCACACAGAGAUAAGAUGCUACAAUCUAAGGUGUCACUUCAGGCCGAAGCAGAGACUUCAGGAAAAGAAGACACACAGAACACACUUAAUUAGUUGUUUUACACACAGAACGUAUUUUAUGUAAGAUUUGGAAUGUUUCAGUUUGUGGAAUGUUUGAGUAUAUAAAAUGUGAAAGUUAAGAUAUCAGUUAUGCCACUUUUUUUUCCAUUUAAAUGUACUGUACGUUACAGUAUACUUAAAGUAUCCUU